rnacentral:misc_RNA from 1 species
AGUCAGUCAGUUUGAGAAAAGCGGGCAGAGUAGGAUUUCGUUGACCAAGUUCCUGUGCUCUUCUAGAACUGUAGCGAGUGUGCUGGGUGACGGACACACACAAGUACACACGCGAAACAAGAAGAAAAUUUUCAAGAAAAAGAAAGCCACAAGGCAAAAGUGUGUGUGUGUGUAUCUGUGGCGGGUGUGUAGUACUAUAUGUGUGUGAAAGGAAGAGAGAAAUGAGCGGGACUCGAAUUUCGACCAGACUCUCUCACCAUCAGACUCAACCAUGUGACUCGAUCGAGUUCAGUCGAGGCUCCGCUUAGGUCCCACUGGCUUAUUACAUCUUGUGGCCGUAAAAAGUGUAAACGAAAAACAAGUGACGUUUUUAUAGCUGAAGAACGUGAAAUCACGGCAACUUUGUUGAAUCAAAGAGAAAGAAAUUGGUGGUCAAUUAUUUAGUGGUCGAUCUCUUUAUUGCAACAUGAUUUUCCGCUACGUUUUGUUGAUCUUGUCUGCGUUCCAGUCGGUCCAACCGCACGGAUUACAAACGACAACAGUGAUGCCGUCAUGCUGUGCCACCGCCGUAACGGACGCGUGCCGGACUUUCUGCCAAAAAAUGGAUCAAACCCUUCUCCAUCCGGCUGAUCCCGAAUUGUUGGCCGAAAUGGCGUCACACUGUCCUCCGUCCAUGCAAGAAUCGUUCUGGAACUGUCUCAACAUCACCAUAGGACCAAAACACGAUGGAGAUUACCUAGGCCGACAAUGUUGUUCGUUAUCGCCUGUUCAUCGAUGCCAAACGGCCUGUCUCAGAGCCAAACAGUACUCUGAAGAUCUGGCUAACGAGUGCCGUAAGAGCGACAACAUGCAACUCUUCCAGUGCCUCAAUCUCAUCCGGGAAGGAGAAGAAUGUUGCAGUUUAUCGGCCGAUUCUCAAUGCCGUAAAGCAUGCUCCACUGUUUACAGCGCCACGGCGACAUCCGCUUCCGGAGCGGGCAUUAAUGGGACGCUGAGGCACGCGGCCAAUACGGCGUGCUCUCGGUCACACAACGUGCUGCAGUGCGCCAAAAAUCUGCUGAAAGUCGAUCGAUUACCCAUCAGCACUUCUACGUUACAGUGUUGCGAUAAGGGCAAAACGUUCCAGUGCCAGGAGACAUGCCGUUCGGCACUGAAAGCUGGCGAACCGGACGCUGUGGGCUUAAUGGUCAAGGAUUGCGGUGAGCUAUUACUCACCGAGCCACUUUGGAAAUGCUUUAUGAGCAAAUCACCUCCUUCUUCGCCUGAACGAAGCGCCAACAAUUAUGACCGUGCCAUCAACGAUAUCAGAAAUAAGCCAAGAAGUUUAAUCGAUCCGUCAAAGACAGCUGCGACGACCAUCACUGCAGCAACGGCGAUUCAGCGUAGCAGCUAUGACGCUGCUAAAUUAAGCUGUUGCGAUCGUGGUACUUUGCAAUGUUACCGUCUUUGUCGAACAGCCCACACCAAUGAAUUCUUUCCCGAAACGGUGGAAUUGGACGAGUGUGUCGCUCAGCCCAGUGAGGCUGCGUUGGCCACCUGCUUUGAAGAUGUCGACGAGCCUUGCCAACCGGGCUGUUCCAAUCUGUCCUUUUGCUCGAGUUUCAACAAUAGGCCACUGGAGCUAUUUCGCAAUUGUAAUCCCGAAGCAGAUGCUGCGGCUCAGAACGUCUUUCAAGAGUGGAUUCGUAUGACGCGCGUUGUGCUUCCAGGUUUAACGGGCAGGCAAGACGUGAAACUCUGGGGCCCUUCGACGUGUAUGAUGCCGCAGUGGAAAGCACUAGCUUGUGCUCUUCAAUUUAAACCCUGUCGACGAAACAUGUUAAAGACUGCAAUUUGCUGGAAUUCGUGCAUUAAAUUGCUUAGCGGAUGCAUGACACAAUACAAUGCCACGCUGGCCGUCGAGUUGUGUAAUCGGCUGACGCCAGAGUCUUUCACGGGAGCCUGCAUUAGCUUAGAAGAUUAUCUAGCGCCCCAACCUAAGACAGUCGCCGUCGUGGCACCGUGUCGUUACAACACCUGUCGAACGGACCAGGUCUGCGUUGUUGAUCAACGCAGCUCCAAUGGCUAUUCUUGCCUGCCAGGUUGUCAAUUCGGAGACCGAUCAAAAUUGUUGGGCUUCCCAAAAUCCUGGGUCCAACUGCCUACACCUUCAACUUCUUGCUAUUACAAUAGCUGUAACGAAGUGUGCUACUGUAACGGGAAAGGUGAAUUACAGCAAUGCCAUACACCGCCCUUGCAGCCUUUUGAAGCUUGUAGGGUAGGCCAACAACAAUUCGUACAUGGGACCCGAUUGCAAAAUGAUUGCAAUCAAUGUAUCUGCCACUAUGGGGAGUUGAUUUGCACACGUUACCGAUGUGACAACUCUUCCGGUAUCAGCGCCGUGAUUUGGAGCUGCCCACUUCAGCCCAAUCCGGUGUGUACCAGCUCUGGCAAACGAUUCCUAAAUACUUGUGUAGCGCAAUGGCAUGGAACGGCUGUCGAGCCUUUAGAACAUUGCCCACAUGAAGGACCUGACGGUUUCUUUGCACCGGAAUGCUACACAGUUAUCCAGCUGGUCUACAGUCAGAAACAAAUCGAUCGCUUGAGCCGCAGCACAAAUAAGUCAACAAUCUUUUCAGCCAGCCUAGUGGAACAAUCGCUUCGUUACUUGCUAGCUUAUUCGCACUGCCAUGUCAGCGUUUUCCAAAGUGUUGAUGGAGAACUGCUUGCCGUCAUUCAUUCUCAGAUGCACUGUGCCAGUUGCAGUGCCGAAGCUGAGAAACUUGUCAUGCUCUUUGAUACCCGCAGCCCUCAGGUUACUUUAAACGUUCAGCUUGACGUCAUUCUACUGGCAGAGGUAGUCCAGUUCGUCCAGCUUCAUCCUUCUCACACCCACACGCUGAGCAGUGGCGGUGGUGGUAGGGGUGGCAUUUUCGCACAUCGUGUUCAAUCCAUCUAUAGCAUUCCUUUUUUCCUCAGCGUGCUGAGAUUUAUUUAAGAGCAAGCAUCGUAUUUACAGAAUGAAUUUUCUCCGCUACUGAGCAGCAUCAUGUUAAGAAUCAUCGCCACGAUAGUCCUCUGUGUAAACGUCUAUGCAGAAAGGAUUGCUGUCUAAUUUCCUGAUGGGCAUCACACUAUUUGGAUUCAUUAUAUUAUCAGCUACAAUCCACUGGAAGUCCUGUAUUAAUUUAUCUUACCUCGGUAGACUGCCUUUCGAGCAUCUUGUCAUAAGCCACGUUCCUUGUGUGGAUUUCGAACGCGAAUGUACAGUUCUCUCUAUCGUAAUGGGUUUCGGAACCCAAUCUCUGGCUCAUUGUAAGCCAUAUUGCUGUUGCUUGUUGUCGGAUUUCAGUCACAUUCAACGUAACUUUUCCACUGUAUCAAUAAAUAUGUUGUAUCAUA